UACGGAGGGUGCGAGCGUUAAUCGGAAUUACUGGGCGUAAAGCGCACGCAGGCGGUUUGUUAAGCUAGAUGUGAAAGCCCCGGGCUCAACCUGGGAUGGUCAUUUAGAACUGGCAGACUUGAGUCUUGGAGAGGGGAGUGGAAUUCCAGGUGUAGCGGUGAAAUGCGUAGAUAUCUGGAGGAACAUCAGUGGCGAAGGCGACUCCCUGGCCAAAGACUGACGCUCAUGUGCGAAAGUGUGGGGAGCGAACAGG
rnacentral:rRNA from 1 species